GGUACGGUGCGCCUGGCCCGCUGCCGCAAGGUACGCGAGUGUCGGUGUGCGUCUGCCAUCGUUGUAGGGAAACUCCUCUUCACUGGGGAGUGGAACUACAUCUUUUACUUUGAAAAAAUUAGAGUGUUUAAAGCAGGCUUGCGCUAUGAAUACAUUAGCAUGGAAUAAUAAUUUAGGACUUCGUUUCUAUUUUGUUGGUUUCUAGGGAUGAAGUA
rnacentral:rRNA from 1 species